GCGCCCGUAGCUCAGCUGGAUAGAGUGUCUGACUACGAAUCAGAAGGCCGUGAGUUCGAAUCUCGCCGGGCGCACCA
rnacentral:tRNA from 1 species